AGCUGCUGUUAGUUAGCAAUUAUACCGUGAAACUGCGAAUGGCUCAUUAAAUCAGUUAUCGUUUAUUUGAUAGUACCUUACUACUUGGAUAACCGUGGUAAUUCUAGAGCUAAUACAUGCUAAAAACCCCAACUUCGGGAGGGGUGUAUUUAUUAGAUAAAAAACCAAUGCCCUUCAGGGCUCCUUGGUGAUUCAUGAUAACUUCUCAGAUCGCAUGGCUUUACGCCGGCGACGGUUCAUUCAAAUUUCUGCCCUAUCAACUUUCGAUGGUAAGGUAUUGGCUUACCAUGGUUUCAACGGGUAACGGGGAAUUAGGGUUCGAUUCCGGAGAGGGAGCCUGAGAAACGGCUACCACAUCCAAGGAAGGCAGCAGGCGCGCAAAUUACCCAAUUCCGAUACGGAGAGGUAGUGACAAUAAAUACUGAUACAGGGCUCUUUUGGGUCUUGUAAUUGGAAUGAGUACAAUUUAAACCUCUUAACGAGGAACAAUUGGAGGGCAAGUCUGGUGCCAGCAGCCGCGGUAAUUCCAGCUCCAAUAGCGUAUAUUAAAGUUGUUGCAGUUAAAAAGCUCGUAGUUGAACCUUUGGCCUGGCUGGCAGGUCCGCCUCACCGCGUGCACUUGUCCGGCCGGGCCUUUUCUUCUGGAGAACCGCAUGCCCUUCACUGGGUGUGUUGGGGACCAGGACUUUUACUUUGAAAAAAUUAGAGUGUUCAAAGCAGGCCUUUGCUCGAAUACGUUAGCAUGGAAUAAUAGAAUAGGACGUGCGGUCCUAUUUUGUUGGUUUCUAGGACCGCCGUAAUGAUUAAUAGGGACAGUCGGGGGCAUCAGUAUUCAAUUGUCAGAGGUGAAAUUCUUGGAUUUAUUGAAGACUAACUACUGCGAAAGCAUUUGCCAAGGAUGUUUUCAUUAAUCAGUGAACGAAAGUUAGGGGAUCGAAGACGAUCGGAUACCGUCGUAGUCUUAGCCCUAAACUAUGCCGACUAGGGAUCCGA
rnacentral:rRNA from 1 species